UACGGGGGGGAGCAAGCGUUGUUCGGAUUUACUGGGCGUAAAGGGCGCGUAGGCGGUCAGCACAAGUCAGUUGUGAAAUCUCCGGGCUUAACUCGGAAAGGUCAACUGAUACUGUGCGACUAGAGUGCAGAAGGGGCAACUGGAAUUCUCGGUGUAGCGGUGAAAUGCGUAGAUAUCGAGAGGAACACCUGCGGCGAAGGCGGGUUGCUGGGCUGACACUGACGCUGAUGCGCGAAAGCCAGGGAGCGAAGCGGG
rnacentral:rRNA from 1 species